CCUACGGGAGGCAGCAGUGGGGAAUAUUGGACAAUGGGCGAAAGCCUGAUCCAGCCAUGCCGCGUGUGUGAAGAAGGCCUUCGGGUUGUAAAGCACUUUCAGUGGGGAAGAAAGCCUUGGGGCUAAUACCCUCGAGGAAGGACAUCACCCACAGAAGAAGCACCGGCUAACUCCGUGCCAGCAGCCGCGGUAAUACGGAGGGUGCGAGCGUUAAUCGGAAUUACUGGGCGUAAAGCGCGCGUAGGCGGUCUGAUAAGCCGGUUGUGAAAGCCCCGGGCUCAACCUGGGAACGGCAUCCGGAACUGUCAGGCUAGAGUGCAGGAGAGGAAGGUAGAAUUCCCGGUGUAGCGGUGAAAUGCGUAGAGAUCGGGAGGAAUACCAGUGGCGAAGGCGGCCUUCUGGACUGACACUGACGCUGAGGUGCGAAAGCGUAGGUAGCAAACAGGAUUAGAUACCCCUGUAGUC
rnacentral:rRNA from 1 species